CAAGGGGCCUGCAAGAGGAAGGUGAAGGAACAACCAUGAUCCCGCCAACCCAGAAACUUCCAGCCCCUUGGGCCACUCCAGGGCACAGGCAGGGACCAGGCUGGGGCUGGAGGAGCCAGGCUGGCCGCACUGGGUCCCACCGGAGACUUCUUUUCCUUCCCAAAGAAGAGGAAACCUCCCAGGGCCAUCUUUGAGUAUCCCUGCCCUCCUUCCUCACACCUUGGUUCUCCAUCUCACCUUUUGGGGACAAAGGAACCAACCAUUGCAGGUCCUUCCCACUGUCACUUGGGCCUGUCCAGAACCAGCAGGAAGGUAGGGCCCUGCUGGCCCAUCUGGCCCACAGAGGGGAGGCAGGUCAGCCACCCCAGCAGCCCACCCUCCUUGCCCCUGAGAUGCCCCCUCCUCCGCAGCCCUCCACCUGCAGCUCCUAGUGGCCAAGGGGACUUAGCAGGCAGCCUGCGGACUCCCCCUUGCUCCUUGGCCCCCAUGCCUGGCCCAUCCUGGGUACAAGGGCAGACUUGGUUGCCUCCAUUAUAGAUUAUAGCACAAAAACACAAUAAAAUAAAAUGAAUGUUUUCUCAGCGAAAAUCC
rnacentral:lncRNA from 1 species